rnacentral:lncRNA from 1 species
AAGAGAGAAAAGAGUGCAAAGAAAAAAAAGAAAAGAAAACCAAAAAAGGAGAAGCCCAAUACCUGCCCAUGCCUUCUGCCAUGCCCUGCGUGUCCCUGCUGACAUCCACCCCUCACCACCUCACUCACCUUUGCUCUUUCUUCUUAGAUGCUUGCCAUGUGGCGCACAUCCAAGCCUUCUCCAUGCUUAUUUAAAGGCUCUCUUUGACGCGAAAGCCAUCACGAAGGAUAUCCUAAUAAAAGAAGAAGACGCACAUGACUCUAAAGUCAUUGACGAACUAGGCCCACUGGAAAAACAAAACUAGUUGCUUGUAGGCCCCAUCACCCAAAGUCGGGCCUACAAGCUUCAAGGAAUUUUCAAUCUGCUAGUCCAAGAUUGGGUAAGCGACAUGAUCAAUGAUGAAGUAUAAAGGG